rnacentral:rRNA from 1 species
GACGAACGCUGGCGGCGUGCCUAAUACAUGCAAGUAGAACGCUGAAGAGAGGAGCUUGCUCUUCUUGGAUGAGUUGCGAACGGGUGAGUAACGCGUAGGUAACCUGCCUUGUAGCGGGGGAUAACUAUUGGAAACGAUAGCUAAUACCGCAUAACAAUGGAUGACACAUGUCAUUUAUUUGAAAGGGGCAAUUGCUCCACUACAAGAUGGACCUGCGUUGUAUUAGCUAGUAGGUGAGGUAAUGGCUCACCUAGGCGACGAUACAUAGCCGACCUGAGAGGGUGAUCGGCCACACUGGGACUGAGACACGGCCCAGACUCCUACGGGAGGCAGCAGUAGGGAAUCUUCGGCAAAGGGGGCAACCCUGACCGAGCAACGCCGCGUGAGUGAAGAAGGUUUUCGGAUCGUAAAGCUCUGUUGUAAGUCAAGAACGGGUGUGAGAGUGGAAAGUUCACACUGGGACGGUAGCUUACCAGAAAGGGACGGCUAACUACGU